GCUGAAGAACGUAGCGAAAUGCGAUAAGUAGUGUGAAUUGCAGAAUUCAGUGAAUCAUCGAAUCUUUGAACGCACAUUGCGCCCUUUGGUAUUCCAAAGGGCAUGCCUGUUCGAGCGUCAUUUGUACCCUCAAGCUUUGCUUGGUGUUGGGCGUCUUGUCUCUAGCUUUGCUGGAGACUCGCCUUAAAGUAAUUGGCAGCCGGCCUACUGGUUUCGGAGCGCAGCACAAGUCGCACUCUCUAUCAGCAAAGGUCUAGCAUCCAUUAAGCCUUUUUUUCAACUUUUGACCUCGGAUCAGGUAGGGAUACCCGCUGAACUUAAGCAUAUCAAUAAGCGGAGGA
rnacentral:misc_RNA from 1 species